UACGUAGGGAACAAGCGUGAUCCGGAAUUACUGGGCGUAAAGCGCACGCAGGUGGCUACUUAAGUCUGACGUGAAAGCUCCUGGCUUAACUGGGAGAGGUCGUUGGAAACUGAGUGGCUUGAGGCGAUGAGCAGGGUAUGGAAUACCCGGUGUAGUGGUGGAAUGCGUAGAGAUCGGGAGGAAUACCAGUGGCGAAAGCGAUACCCUCGCGUGAGCCUGACGCUCAUGUGCCGAAGCGUGGGGAGCGAACGGG
rnacentral:rRNA from 1 species